GAUGAACGCUAGCUCCAGGCUUAACACAUGCAAGUCGAGGGACCGGCGCACGGGUGAGUCACACGUAUCCAACCUGCCCGUUACUCGGCGAUAGCAUUUCGCAAGAAAGAUUAAUACCCGAUAUAAAGGAUGGGGAUGCGUUCAAUUAGGUUGUUGGUGAGGUAACGGCGCACCAACCCUUCGAUGGAUAGUGGUACUGAGAGGAAGUGCCCCUACAUGUGAACUGAUACACGGACCAAACUGAUACGGGAGGCAGCGGUGAUGAAUACGUGUCAAUGAGCGCUAGCCGGAACAAGCCACGUAGCGUGAAGAAUGAAGGGUUAUGGGUCGUAAACUUCUGUUAGAUAAGAAUAGGUAUUAGAUGAAUAAGGAUCGGCUAACUCCGUGCCAGCAGCCGCGGUAAUAC
rnacentral:rRNA from 1 species